CUCUUCUCCAUGGACGGACCUCACCAGGCAACAACAAGCCAUCUCAAGGGAGUGGAUUCUCAAGUCACCCCACUUCCAAUCCAUGGACGCCAUCCACAAGGACCAAGAUGACGACGCGCACAUCCUCCCUCUCCGAGCUGCAGGCACCCUCCGUGGAUGAGGACGACAACCAGGGCAUCCAUGGUCGACAGCUCGAUGGCUCCUCGGUCUAAUACUGAGCUUAAACAUGUACUCUUGGAUGAUAUGCGUGAGUUGUGGACUUCCUGCCCUUUAUCACAAAUCUACAGGAGAACCUACUCGGCGGUCCUGAUGUUGCACUCGGCAGCGGCGCCGGCGGUGGCAUCGUCUUGUUUCAGAUUUACUGAAUUAGCCAUGAAGGGUGGCUGAGCCAUCAGGAGCGGCAGCGGUGGCCUGCUGCGGACGCUGCUGCGGCUCCCUGUUCUUCAUCGCCUGCGUCUACCUGCUCAGUGCCGACCCCAUGUAUAUCCUCUCCUCCCCGUGCUUCUCUUGCCUGGGAGGCAACUCUUCAGUGUGCUUGACAUGGUCCAUCUUCUCCUCCCCAUUGCUCUCUCUAAUCCCCAAUGUUCACAUUUGGUCUGCUCUUGUCUUGUAGAUGUGCAGGAAGAAAAGGGCCAUAAGAUUGUACAGGCAGAACAGGAUGUUGUUCUGUUCAACCACAUUGCCCCUAGUAAACACGAUGUAGGCAGUGUGGCGUGGAUAGCCGAUGCUUUAAAAUAAUUGUAGCGCUGAUCCACUUUUCACAUACUGAAUCCUAAUAACAGGGAAUAAGGGCUAGGAUCAAAUACAAUGAGUAAGUAGCAAAAUUAGAACGAUAAUUGUCGAUUAGAAGCAUUCAUCCGGAUGGAUUUAUGAGAUGCAUAUAUAAUGAUGGCUCCAGUUCAAGUGAUGACAUAGCAGUAGCUGAAAUAGAAAUUCAGUGAGCAUCUUCGCGUUAGAUUUCAUUUAGUUUCAAUUAGCAUUGGGCACUGGCUAGUUUCAAUCUUGCUACCAUUUAUUUGGGAGCCCCCUUCUAGAGGUUGGCACGGGUGAAGUGGCAGCCACUGAUUGCGUUGUAAACAACAUGAAUAGUGAGCCCGAUGAGCAGGCUAAUGGUGCGGGCGAGAUCAGUUAGUACGACAGAUAGAAUGUUCAUGCAUAUUGAAAUGUGCCUUAUUGACUAAAUUUGAUAU